GACGAACGCUGGCGGCGUGCUUAACACAUGCAAGUUGAACGGGAUUCGUGCUCAACACCGAGCAUUCGGGAUAGUGGGUAAGAGCGUUUAAGCGCGAAGCGCUUGACGCGGAAAAAGCUUACCAACACAACCAAUGCUGGGUGUUGAGCAUGAUGAGAGUAGCGGACGGGCGAGUAACGCGUGAGUAACCUGCCCUUUGCAGGGGGAUAACAUCGGGAAACCGGUGCUAAUACCGCAUAAGACCACAGUGCCCCAUGGCACAGCGGUCAAAGCUGAGGCGGCAAAGGAUGGACUCGCGUCCAAUUAGCUAGUUGGUGAGGUAACGGCCCACCAAGGCGACGAUUGGUAUCCGAACUGAGAGGUUGAUCGGACGCAUUGGGACUGAGACACGGCCCAGACUCCUACGGGAGGCAGCAGUGGGGAAUAUUGCGCAAUGGAGGAAACUCUGACGCAGCAACGCCGCGUGAAGGAUGAAGGCUUUCGGGUUGUAAACUUCUUUGAUCGGGGACGAAGAUGACGGUACCCGAGGAACAAGCCACGGCUAACUACGUGCCAGCAGCCGCGGUAAUACGUAGGUGGCAAGCGUUGUCCGGAAUUACUGGGUGUAAAGGGCGUGUAGGCGGGGCGGCAAGUCAGAUGUGAAAUACCGUGGCUUAACUGCGGGGGUGCAUCUGAAACUGCUGCUCUUGAGUGUCGGAGAGGAAAGUGGAAUUCCCAGUGUAGCGGUGAAAUGCGUAGAGAUUGGGAGGAACACCAGUGGCGAAGGCGGCUUUCUGGACGAUAACUGACGCUGAGGCGCGAAAGCGUGGGUAGCAAACAGGAUUAGAUACCCUGGUAGUCCACGCCGUAAACGAUGGAUACUAGGUGUAGGAGGUAUCGACCCCUUCUGUGCCGCAGUUAACACAAUAAGUAUCCCACCUGGGGAGUACGGCCGCAAGGUUGAAACUCAAAGGAAUUGACGGGGGCCCGCACAAGCAGUGGAGUAUGUGGUUUAAUUCGAAGCAACGCGAAGAACCUUACCAGGGCUUGACAUCCCCUUGACCGGCAUAGAGAUAUGCCUUCUCUUCGGAGCAAGGGAGACAGGUGGUGCGUGGUUGUCGUCAGCUCGUGUCGUGAGAUGUUGGGUUAAGUCACGCAACGAGCGCAACCCCUGUUGUUAGUUGCCAGCAUUGAGUCGGGCACUCUAACGAGACUGCCGGUGAUAAAUCGGAGGAAGGUGGGGACGACGUCAAAUCAUCAUGCCCCUUAUGUCCUGGGCUACACACGUACUACAAUGGCGAUAACAGAGGGAAGCAAGACAGUGAUGUGGAGCAAAUCCCCAAAAAUCGCCCCAGUUCAGAUUGCAGGCUGCAACUCGCCUGCAUGAAGUCGGAAUUGCUAGUAAUGGCAGGUCAGCAUACUGCCGUGAAUACGUUCCCGGGCCUUGUACACACCGCCCGUCACACCAUGAGAGCUGACAACACCCGAAGUCGGUAGUUUAACCGUAAGGAGGACGCCGCCGAAGGUGGGGUUGGUGAUUGGGGUG
rnacentral:rRNA from 1 species